UGUGUGUUAGUGGAAGCGUCUGGAAAGGCGCGCGAUACAGGGUGACAGCCCCGUACACAAAAAUGCACAUGCUGUGAGCUCGAUGAGUAGGGCGGGACACGUGGUAUCCUGUCUGAAUAUGGGGGGACCAUCCUCCAAGGCUAAAUACUCCUGACUGACCGAUAGUGAACCAGUACCGUGAGGGAAAGGCGAAAAGAACCCCGGCGAGGGGAGUGAAAAAGAACCUGAAACCGUGUACGUACAAGCAGUGGGAGCCUCUUUUAUGGGGUGACUGCGUACCUUUUGUAUAAUGGGUCAGCGACUUAUAUUCUGUAGCAAGGUUAACCGAAUAGGGGAGCCGAAGGGAAACCGAGUCUUAACUGGGCGUUAAGUUGCAGGGUAUAGACCCGAAACCCGGUGAUCUAGCCAUGGGCAGGUUGAAGGUUGGGUAACACUAACUGGAGGACCGAACCGACUAAUGUUGAAAAAUUAGCGGAUGACUUGUGGCUGGGGGUGAAAGGCCAAUCAAACCGGGAGAUAGCUGGUUCUCCCCGAAAGCUAUUUAGGUAGCGCCUCGUGAAUUCAUCUCCGGGGGUAGAGCACUGUUUCGGCAAGGGGGUCAUCCCGACUUACCAACCCGAUGCAAACUGCGAAUACCGGAGAAUGUUAUCACGGGAGACACACGGCGGGUGCUAACGUCCGUCGUGAAGAGGGAAACAACCCAGACCGCCAGCUAAGGUCCCAAAGUCAUGGUUAAGUGGGAAACGAUGUGGGAAGGCCCAGACAGCCAGGAUGUUGGCUUAGAAGCAGCCAUCAUUUAAAGAAAGCGUAAUAGCUCACUGGUCGAGUCGGCCUGCGCGGAAGAUGUAACGGGGCUAAACCAUGCACCGAAGCUGCGGCAGCGACGCUUAUGCGUUGUUGGGUAGGGGAGCGUUCUGUAAGCCUGUGAAGGUGUGCUGUGAGGCAUGCUGGAGGUAUCAGAAGUGCGAAUGCUGACAUAAGUAACGAUAAAGCGGGUGAAAAGCCCGCUCGCCGGAAGACCAAGGGUUCCUGUCCAACGUUAAU
rnacentral:rRNA from 1 species